rnacentral:rRNA from 1 species
GAUUUGGCGGACGGGUGAGUAACACGUGGGCAACCUGCCUCAUAGAGGGGAAUAGCCUCCCGAAAGGGAGAUUAAUACCGCAUAAGAUUGUAGCUUCGCAUGAAGUAGCAAUUAAAGGAGUAAUCCGCUAUGAGAUGGGCCCGCGGCGCAUUAGCUAGUUGGUGAGGUAACGGCUCACCAAGGCGACGAUGCGUAGCCGACCUGAGAGGGUGAUCGGCCACAUUGGGACUGAGACACGGCCCAGACUCCUACGGGAGGCAGCAGUGGGGAAUAUUGCACAAUGGGGGAAACCCUGAUGCAGCAACGCCGCGUGAGUGAUGACGGCCUUCGGGUUGUAAAGCUCUGUCUUCAGGGACGAUAAUGACGGUACCUGAGGAGGAAGCCACGGCUAACUACGUGCCAGCAGCCGCGGUAAUAAU